ACUGAACGCUGGCGGCAGGCCUAACACAUGCAAGUCGAGCGAGCGGCGGACGGGUGAGUAAUGUAUGGGGACUGCACGAUAGAGGGGGUUAACUAAUGGAAACGGUGGCUAAUACCGCAUGUUAUAGGAUAACCCAUAUGGGAUUAGAUAGUAGGUGAGGUAAUGGCUGAUCUAGGCAAAGAUCUCUAGCUGGUCUGAGAGGGUGAUCAGCCACACGUGUACUGAGACACGGCCCAGACUCCUAAGGAGCAAGCAGUGGGGAAUCUGGCACAAUGGGCGCAAGCCUGAUACAGCCAUGCCGCGUGUAUGAAGAAUGCCUUAGUGUUGUAAAGUUCUUUCAUCGGGGAGGCGUUACCCACAGAAGAAGCACCGGCUAACUCCGUGCCAGCAGCCGCGGUAAUAC
rnacentral:rRNA from 1 species